GAUGAACGCUGGCGGCGUGCCUAAUACAUGCAAGUCGAGCGAACGGACGAGAAGCUUGCUUCUCUGAUGUUAGUGGCGGACGGGUGAGUAACACGUGGAUAACCUACCUAUAAGACUGGGAUAACUUCGGGAAACCGGAGCUAAUACCGGAUAAUAUUUUGAACCGCAUGGUUCAAAAGUGAAAGACGGUCUUGCUGUCACUUAUAGAUGGAUCCGCGCUGCAUUAGCUAGUUGGUAAGGUAACGGCUUACCAAGGCAACGAUGCAUAGCCGACCUGAGAGGGUGAUCGGCCACACUGGAACUGAGACACGGUCCAGACUCCUACGGGAGGCAGCAGUAGGGAAUCUUCCGCAAUGGGCGAAAGCCUGACAGAGCAACGCCGCGUGAGUGAUGAAGGUCUUCGGAUCGUAAAACUCUGUUAUUAGGGAAGAACAUAUGUGUAAGUAACUGUGCACAUCUUGACGGUACCUAAUCAGAAAGCCACGGCUAACUACGUG
rnacentral:rRNA from 1 species